CCUACGGGAGGCAGCAGUGAGGAAUAUUGGUCAAUGGCCGGAAGGCUGAACCAGCCAAGCCGCGUGAAGGACGAAGGUGCCAAGCAUUGUAAACUUCUUUUGUCAAGGGACAAAAUCAGGCUCGAGAGCCUGACCGUGGGUACUUGAAGAAAAAGCAUCGGCUAACUCCGUGCCAGCAGCCGCGGUAAUACGGAGGAUGCGAGCGUUAUCCGGAUUUAUUGGGUUUAAAGGGUGCGUAGGGGGACUGUAAAGUCAGCGGUAAAAGGCUGGGGCAAAACCCCGACGUGCAGUUGAAACUGGCUGUCCUGAGAAGACGAGAGGUGUGCGGAAUGCGCAGUGUAGCGGUGAAAUGCUUAGAUAUUGCGCAGAACUCCGAUUGCGAAGGCAGCAUACCGGCGGCGAUCUGACGCUGAGGCACGAAAGCGUGGGUAUCGAACAGGAUUAGAUACCCCUGUAGUC
rnacentral:rRNA from 1 species